UGGGGUAUAGCUCAAUUGGUAGAGCACAGGAUUUUGAUUCCUGCGGUUGAGAGUUCGAGUCUCUCUGCCCCUGCCAA
rnacentral:tRNA from 1 species